CAGCGGAGUGGCUUAAACCCUUGGAAAGUUGGAAUAUUGCAAAACCCUUCGCGGAUUCGGUCGUCACCAGCUGUAGGAGUUUUGAUGUGAUCAAUCAAGAAUGGCCCUUUAUAGAAGAUUACAAGCAAUUCGUGCUCUUUCUCGAACGUUAGAGACUCGAGACUCUUUGUAUCUGCUUGGGAGCUUAAGAAGCUAUAGUAGUCAUUUUUCAAAUGGUUGUGAACUGAACUCCUGGAGAAUUUCAUUUUGUCCCCAUUGGGACCACAAUUCUCUUCCUUGGACUCAUGGAAGGACAACCCUUCAUUCUUCAAUGGCCAUGGAAUUAUCAAUUUUCUUAAGCAACAAGAGGUUGGCGACAACACAGGCAAGAGCUCCCGCACAAGCACGGCAGAUGGGGGCUCUUAAAGUGUCCAUUUCGAGUCCUGGAUUCAUCUAUGAACCUUAUGCACCUCGUGAACCAAUCCCAUUUUGGCGAAGGUGGUUCACAAAAAGUGGUUGGAGACGAACAAAAGAAGAUAUCAUUCUAGAGAUGAAAAGUGCUUAUGCCAUUUCCAAGUUAAGAAAAUCUGGAUACUCGAAACAUGAGUUCUACAAAGAGGCCAUUGACUUGUACAAGGAGAUAAGCACUCUAAUCGCAAAUGGUGACAAAAAUUCAUUGAGGAAAAUGGUUACAGAAAAAAUGUACUCUGAACUCAAGAAUGAAAUUAAGCAAAGAGAGUCCAUGUGGAAUAAAGUUUGUUGGGAAAUGAUUGAACCAGUGGUUAAGAUACGAACAUUGCGAGCUCGACUGAUAGGUGUUGAUCGAAAAGACCUCAAUAAAGUUUUCAUACAGCUAACCCUUGAGCUUCUAACAAAGCAGAAGUUUGAAGCUUAUGAUUCAAAAGGCAUUACUGUUGCUGGAGAUAAAACAAAGGAGCUUGCUCGCCAAUCUCUCUUGAACCCUAAGACAAAUGCACUGCCAUUUCUCCGCAAGCAGCAUCCCAUAUCCCCAAAUCGCCAAUCUAUACUAUCCCUCACCACUCGCUUCUUUGCAUCCCAAAGUCUUAGCCUUAACUCAUUUCCUGACAAGCCUAGUGCUGCCUAUUAUGAUGAUCUUGUCAAUGCUGCUGGCCAGGAACGAGACUUCAAUACGCUUAGCUACCUCCUCAACAAGCGUGUGAGAGAUGGCUGCUUCAACACUGUCAACACCUUCAAAUUCAUCACCAACACUGAUAACUCCCUCUCAAUCCUAGAUGAUCUCACUGAAACACUAGCCCGCCUUGACAGUGGCUUCCCUCGUACAAGUGCAUAUAAUACACUUAUUGCUCGUCUUUGCAAACUAGACCGAAUUGAGGAAUCAUUGCACAUUGUGGAUAUCAUGGCACAUAGGCAGUAUGGGUUAAGCGCGUGUAGCUUUCACCCUAUACUGAGCUCUCUCACAAGGAAGAAGAAGAUGGAGGUUGCCUGGAAAGUAAUGGAAAUGAUGAGGGCAGUGGGUGUUUUGCCUGACCUGACAGCUUUCAAUUAUUUGUUGACGGCAUAUUGUUAUAAUGGCAAUUUAAUGGCUGCAACUAAGGUGAUGAAGAGGAUUGAAGAGGAGAGGCUGGGUGCUGAUGCACGAACAUAUGAUGCACUGGUGUUGGGUGCAUGUAGAGUAGGGAAAGUUGAGGGGGCCCUUGUGGUGCUGAGGAGGAUGGAGCAUGAUGGACCACAUGUAUUGUAUUCUACAUAUGUGCAUGUAAUCAAUGCAUUCUUGAAGUUAGGAUUCUAUGCACAGGCAAUUAAGUUUGUGAUGAUUUAUGCAGGGAGAGAUACAAUAUUAGAUGCAGAGACUUUUGGGAUAUUGGCUAGUAAGUUGAUUAAGUUGGAGAGGCUUGAGCAAGCUAAGUUAGUUUUGGAGGAAAUGGAGGAAAGGGGUUUGGUAAUGGGUGAUAAAUUGAGGGAUUACUAUAACUUGAAAGUUAAGAAUGUCAAAUCGUUUUAGUCGUUGUCCAUAGAAGAUCAGCAUUUUCUGGAGUUGCCUAGGUAGGGAUUGAGCUUGCAUUUGUAUGGACUAAUGAGGCACUUAUUGUACAGGGGUUUAGUGGCACAAUUUCUGGACAAUUUCAUUUUUCUUUUUCUUCUGGUAAUUAAGGUAUUGCUAUCAAUGGUGGGUGUAGAAUAGUUGCCCCAAUUUGGAAGUUGGACUUUGAAUUUGUAGACAUGCACUUCUGUUCCCAAGGAAAUGAUAUAUGGAUCAAAAUGAAUUGAAUGGAAUUGUUGGUUUGAUACUUGUCAUUUAGAAGCUUACGCUUGUAGGUCCUUGUCCGUGAUAUCUGGGUGUUCGAGAAAUCCCUUUUUCAUCCUGGAGCCUACUGGCGUCUUUGUGGGCGGAUUUCAGUUUAAUCCGGCUACCUACGAUCCAACACUGAGUUCAACUGUGCUGAAAAUGAGCAACGAUUGUUACCCAAUUUUGCAAGCUGACGAGAAUCAUGGUGUAUCGUUAUCCCAAAUCAAGUUCUUUUCUUUAAUUGCAUACAGAACUUCAAAGGAAUAAAAUGGCUUUUCCUCAUUUGAUUUUCUUCCUUUGAGAUUGUCCAUUAUUGGUGUUGAUGUUGUUGAGAAAACUGGUCCUGAUUGUAUCACAACCCCUUUCAGCAUAAAAUUAGAAGAUGAUGAAUUCAAGCA